rnacentral:tRNA from 2 species
GGUGCCGUAGGCAAAUCGGUAAAGCCACAGCACUUUCAAUGCUGCGUUUGCGGGUUUAACCCCCGUCGGCACUGCCA